GAUGAACGCUGGCGGCGUGCCUAACACAUGCAAGUCGAGCGAACGGACGAGAAUUCUGCUUUUCUGUUGUUAGCGUCGGACGGGUGAGUAACACGUGGAUAACCUAUCUAUAAGACUGGGCUUACUUCGGGAAACCGGAGCCAAUACCGGAUAAUCUUUUGAACUGCAUGGUUCUAAAGUGAAUGGCGGUCGUGCUGUUACUUAUAGAUGGAUCCGUGCUGCAUUAGCUAGUUGGUGAGGGAACGGCAUACCAAGGCAACGAUGCAUAGCCGACCUGGGAGGGUGAGCGUCCACACUGGAACUGAGACACGGUCCAGACUCCUACGGGAGGCAGCAGUAGGGAAUCUUACGCAAUGGGCGAGAGCCUGACGGAGCAACGCCGCGUGAGUGAUGAAGGUCUUCGGAUCGUAAAACUCUGUUAUUAGGGAAGAACAGAUGUGUAAGUAACUGUGCACAUCGUGACGGUACCUGAACAGAAAGCCACGGCUAACUACGUG
rnacentral:rRNA from 1 species